UACAGAGGGUGCAAGCGUUAAUCGGAAUUACUGGGCGUAAAGCGUGCGUAGACGGUUAUUUAAGUCAGGUGUGAAAGCCCCGGGCUCAACCUGGGAAUGGCCGUUGAAACUGGCGAACUGGAGUGUGGCAGAGGGGGGUGGAAUUCCGCGUGUAGCAGUGAAAUGCGUAGAGAUGCGGAGGAACACCGAUGGCGAAGGCAGCCCCCUGGGCUGACACUGACGCUCAGGCACGAAAGCGUGGGGAGCAAACAGG
rnacentral:rRNA from 1 species